UCAUUACGCGGGCUGAUCACGCGGGCUGAUUUCUUGCGUUUUCCAUAAAUUAUUACCUUCUCUCUUCCUCUUUAGCAACAAUCCUCCUUUAACCUCCUAGUCCCACCUUCUAUUUUGCACUCAUCUUCCCAUUAGGAUUCUUUCGCUUCUGCAACUAUAUUCCUAAUCAAUUAGGAUUCUUUGUUUCUCCUCAUAUCUCCUCUAAUCGUUGAAACCCUAGCUUCUCCGUCGUCUGCUAAACCCACCACCAUCACUGCGUCCCCGUCGUUACUCCUCAACUAAGAGUUCCAUCUGACAUCCAAUGCUACCUCAAAGUUAUGAAGGCGGAUCUGUCGAGUCGAGUUUUGAUGAAGAAGGUUCUAAUACAGCUCAAAAAGAGGUUCACGAUUAUGGCUUCAUUAAUUAUCAUUCUCCCUCCUGUAGAGGGUUCGUAAAGUGAUUAUGUUGACAUAGAGUUUGGUGAAAGUGAUAAGGAAGGAAGAAGAAUGAUGGCUAGAACCAGAGGCGGUAACCAAAUAGGCUGAGAAGCUACAUGUUUAACUCUUCAUUGUGAAGAAACCUAAAUGGGAAGGCCUCUUCAAGCAGCAUAGAAGGAAUUUAGUUAAAGUGGAUAUCAUUAAACUUGAAUUGAGCUACAAAUGGUACUAAUCAAACCUGUUAUUUUGUUCUUUGUUUCUUAAUCUAAUUUCUAUGAAUAAUUGCCUUUUUCUAAUUUAGCUAAUAUCUAAUAUCUAUGCUUUGUGCUAUUUUAAAUUUGUUUGAUGUAUCUAUGUAAUGCAUGCCCUACAAUACCACAUUGCAAGAACUACUUGGAAACUUAGGAAGUAAUCUUGAUCAAAGCACCGUAUCUAAUACUUUUUGGGUAAUAUUCACAGUUAGAGCCCUACAAGGCAUGUAUAGGUAUUUUAAUACUCAACCACAUCUUGAGGGAUGGAAAUCAAAUAGUGAUGAUCAGGGGCGAAACAUGAGCAACGUAAGAAGGGGGGCCGAAUCCUAUAGUGUGUCUAUACACACACACACACACACACACACACACAUAUAUAUAUAUAUAUAUAUAUAUAUAUAUAUAUAUAUAUAUAUAUAUAUAUAUAUAUAUAUAGCAAUGCUCAUAAGAAUAAUUAAAAAGGAAUUAUGUCGCAUAAGAUUUGUACCAAAAUGACAAUUAAAUCGAUCAAUAUAAUAAAAGUUUAUCAAUGUUUAUACAAUCAAGUUUUGACAAUUUAGCCAAAGACUUGUAUAUAAAUAUAUUUAAGAAAACAGACUAAAUCAAUUGAUUUGAGUUGUACUAUGCAUUUUAUGACCAUUAACUACAAAAACCAUUAUGAUAAAAAAAAUAAUAAAUGUAAGACAGCCACAUCAUGAAAAAGUACUAAAGUUCACAGUAACUCUUAACUGUAAUCAUGAAACAAAGUUAUUGACAAAAGAAAUAUAAACAAAUAUAUAUAGAAGUUAUAUACUUUUUAAGCCUCAAAAGCAAACGGAAGAUAACAACAAAACUGAGAAGAAGAAUGCUUACUUGUAGGCGGUGGGUGGGUGAGGCAAAGCGACAACAAGGGUGAAAUAGGGUAGAAACGCUACUCUCCGGCUGUUGGCGACGCUUCUUUCAUACCUUGUAUCUCAUUUUUCUUUUUAACUUUUUGAAGAUAUUUUUUCUUUUUGAACUUUCACGAUCUUCUUUUUUCUGCAACUUCUCUCCUCCUAUUUUCCCUCCUAUUUAGUUGUAAUUGAUCUUUAAAGCACAAGAUCGUUCUUUACAACUUUAUUGUCGCAUUCACAUUUAUGACGGAAAAUACAUAUUUGGUCUUAUAUUAAUAAUUUUAAAUUUAAAUUUAAAGUUUGUUCUACAAAGAACUGUUAUAAUAGAUGCAUUAUCUUCUCUUUUAACCUUUUCUAAAUCAUGAGGGGCCAAGAGUAGUAUUUACCUUAAACUAAUAAUCUGAUUUAGAAUUUUUUGAUAUUAGAAGGCAAAAAAAACAGGGGGGCCAUGGCCCCUCCUGGCCCCUAAAGGGAUCCGCCCCUGGUGGUGAUCUUUUUCAAGAAUCGUGGCAUGGCUCCCUCACAUUUGAUUCGAAAGGUCAUUUUAUUUCUCAAAUUAGUUUUAAAUUAUAAUAGUUAUUAUAUUAUAAAUUUUUUUCUUUAUUCAUAUGAUUUAAUUGGUACUAUUUUUAAAAAGAAAAAGAUCUAUACAUGUUCUAUUGAUAAUUGGUAUUUAGUCAUAAAAAAACAAAUUGAUAUAUUUUUCUAACAAAAGCUUCGUGUGAGCAUUUAUUAAUGUCAAGUGCAUGUAAAAUUUACUCAUGUUAUUUUGUAUGUUGAACUUUCCCAUGCAAAUCCUGAUGGGCUGUAGUCACAAACAUGUAUCUUAUUUAUUUUUCAUAGGAAACAUACAUUAGGUUUGCUUGGAUAUUCCCUGAUCUUUUUGGAGAAAAGGAGGUAUUUUUUAAGGGCAUCAUUAUGUCUUAUUGCCCCGGGCAACAUAUUUCUUUGGACCGGCCCUGGGUCCUUGCAUUGCAAUUGCCUAUUUAUCGGUUCUAAAGGACUGUGAGAUUCAUUGCUUUCAUGAAGGAUUGGAAGUCAAACGACUUGGUGGUCUCCAUGUCAUUGGGACAUCUUUGCAUGAGUCCCGAAGAAUUGAUAAUCAGCUUCGUGGCAGAGCAGGAAGGCAAGGAGAUCCUGGAUCAACACGCUUCAUGGUCAGGUAAGUUCAUUUAAAUGAUUUUUAUAAAGUUUAAAGUCAAUCCUUUCAUCUGGACAAAAUUCUUCAUGUUAAAUUACGUAAUAGUCCUUGGAGUAGUUGACAUGAACAGUUUUUUUUGUUAGAAUGAUUCCAUAUAUAUGUGCAAGCAAGCACAUGCCUUGUGAAAAAGGGAAAUCUAUUCUAGUCACUCUCUUUAACAAGGCAACCUUAAAGUUGAUUUUUUAAACCUGAUGUUUAAAACUACAUUGAGUGUGAGAUAGAAGUUUAUGCAGAGAAGGAAAAAGAUAGAAGUUUUUGAGGAUGUUGCUGAUGAAAAAGAUAGAGGUUCUUUAGGAUGCUGCUAAUGAACUUUAUGCAGAGAAGGAAAAAGAUAGAAGUUUGUUGGCACAUAGUAAGCUAGAUAAUUAAUGCAAUUGUAUAUAAAUGAGUUCAUUUUUUUAUAACAUUUACUCACUAUUGGAAUAAUUAUUUGUAUUUGACAUAUUAGUGAAAUGAAUUAUAUUUGUUAUUUAUGGUA